UGAGCCGAUGCACACGGGCGGCGCGUCCACGCAGCGUGCACGCAAGUGCGUCCUGAGUUACACACAAUCAAAUGGGGUGAUGCACACAAGAACGCAACGCUACCGCACCGCAACCGCGCCGCACCGUGUGCGGCACGCAAUGUUAACGCAUGCCCCACAGGAACGCUGCGGCGACGCAGCGUGAAUUCACGCGGCGUCAAUUAACGCUCGUGUGCAUCGGCUCUUUCGGUGCAAAAGUGCUACACCGGUGUAGCUCCACCGCAAAAACGAAAACGACAUUAGAUUCACGCAACCAUCAUUUCCGGAUCGGAAUCGAACCACACCUUUCUGACGCGGAUUCGCCGUUACCAAGAAAAUCUGGACUCGGUCAAGGCAUACAUCUAUAUCCAGGAUAUUUUUUAACGGAGGAGGACUGGAUAAUCAGGUGGACACAAGGAUGGACACCACCCUGUGAACAGAGUACAUGCAGUAGUAUGAUUGGCGGGAGUCAAGUUGUUCGAAAGCAACGGAUCCGUCGUCCACUGCGGACCAGGAAACGGAUAGCAACAGGGUCACUGCAACUGUUUUGAAUUCGUCCGGGAACGGUCAAUGAUCUUCUCGCCCAGCAGAUAAUCUACUGUUGCAGCGCCUGCAUAAUGUCAUAACGGAAGAGGAAAGUGCAGUGCUAAAUUCAAAGAACACCAUCAACGAUAUCAAUAUCUCGUCAGUUAAAAAAAAGUGUUUCCAAGCGGAGUGGCGCCCAACCCUAAACUACCCCUCAAAUUAACAUUCUUCCGCCGCACUACUGGUGAACCUGUGCGAGAAUCGAAGUUGCCCAUAUGUCCGAACGUAAAUGAUCCGGAAUUGGUGUUUAUAAAAUCACAGCGUAAAAAAACAAUGGAUUUCACUCGCGGUAAUAAUCGAUUCUAGCAACGUAGGUAGGAGAGGUUCGCAACUGAAACUGUUUAUAUGUGAUUUCACAGGAUAAUAUUACAUUUUAUUUUAUAAUGAUUCAAUGUGUGAUAAAAAUAAAUUAUGAAAAUAAAUUGAUUCUGCAUUUUUUGCAUUAUAAAGAAGAAAAACACACAUUCUUAACAUCCAAGUUUCUUGAUAUAUUGAGAUUUUAUUUUAGUCUACUGAAAAUUGUGUUCUGUGUCUUGUGUAGGUUAGUUAUUAAUACAAAAUAAAUAUAAGAUUUAGAGGGCGUUUGUCAUCUAACAAUCGGAUCUUUUUUUUUGGCAUAACGUCCCUAUUGGGACAAAGCCUGCUUCUCAGUGUUCUAAGCACUU